rnacentral:rRNA from 1 species
AUUGAACGCUGGCGGCAUGCCUUACACAUGCAAGUCGAACGGCAGCACGGGAGCAAUCCUGGUGGCGAGUGGCGAACGGGUGAGUAAUAUAUCGGAACGUGCCCAGUCGUGGGGAUAACGUAGCGAAAGCUACGCUAAUACCGCAUACGAUCUAUGGAUGAAAGCGGGGGAUCGCAAGACCUCGCGCGAUUGGAGCGGCCGAUAUCAGAUUAGGUAGUUGGUGAGGUAAAGGCUCACCAAGCCGACGAUCUGUAGCUAGGUCUGAGAGGACGACCAAGCCAACACUGGGACUGAGACACGGCCAGACUCCUACGGGAGGCAGCAGU